AGAGCAGGACCUGGACUGCUACACCACAGUGGCACAACUCUGCCCGUUUGAGAAGCCGGUUUCCCACUGCCCGAGAGUCCGCUGUCCGGCCUCCUGUGGGGACGAGCCGGCCUACUGGGCCCCGGUGAUCGGAACCAACAUCUACACAGACGUGAGUACUGAGUGCGCCGGCCCUGGGCCCUCUGCCUCCUCACACCUCAGGCACCGACCCCCUGUUCCAGGCCCAGCUACACGAGACCCCUCCUUUGCUGUCCCUGUUUCUAGAGAGGUCGUCGCCUGCAACCCUGACCCUCAUGAACACGGUGCAGCUGUGCCUCACUUUACCCAAGUGGCGUUUUCAGCUUGAAGCUUUGGUGGCCCACGUAUCCAGUUCCCACAUAUUUAAUAAUCUUUCUGGCUCUCAAGUGUGUCUGCAGAAAGAAACCAGUGACUCCCCGAGGAGCCUCCCCGGGGUCCCUGCAGCCUCGGCUGGGGCCCAUAGAGAGUCCGGCCCCACGGGGCUGCACAGUCACAAGCCCAGCAGAUGCAUGGGGGCCCGUCUCCCCCUCUCCCUCCUGCCUCUGACGCGGAUGCGUCUGCCUGGUGUUUCUGAACGGAUCCCAGACCUUCACCUAUUCCCUCAGCCGUCUAGGGCCGAGGGAUGUGGAGGCCUGGCAAUGUAGUCAUGGCCCCAGAUCCUGUGGGUGAUCUCGCUGCAUCACCUGCCUCGCUGUGGAGUGGCCCAGAGCCGGGAUCACCCAGGCUGGGCAGUCUUAGGUCUAAGCCGCCAUGGGUCAUCACCACUGGCCUCCAGCCAGCACUGUACUUUGUAAUCAACCUCCC
rnacentral:lncRNA from 1 species